rnacentral:lncRNA from 12 species
AACUAUUCAGCUCUAAAUUCUUGUAACUAAAAAGUAGUUCUCCUGGUCUUUGUUAUUAUGAACAGCAUUUUAAAACUCAAGCCAAGGUUUUUGAUGGGCAGAGAUUCUGAGGAUAUGAACUGCACAUAGCACCCCAGCUGGAGGUACCAUCAGAAUGCAGGCGACAGCACUUCUGCAGAUUAAACCCACAGAAUGGAAAAAACAAGUAAUCCAGGGAAGAAGAUACACCUGGGCAAUACCAAUGUGUACAAUGAAUAGUCUACAAAGAAGACAGAAAAUGAGAAUAAGUAGACAU